rnacentral:rRNA from 1 species
GAUGAACGCUAGCGGGAGGCCUAAUACAUGCAAGUCGAACGGUAACAGGUAGCAAUACGCUGACGAGUGGCGCACGGGUGCGUAACGCGUACACAAUCUGCCUUAUACUGGGGCAUACCCUUUGGAAACGAAGAAUAAUUCCCCAUAGUAUAUAGAGAAGGCAUCUUCUUUAUAUUAAAACUCCGGUGGUAUAAGAUGAGUGUGCGUCCGAUUAGAUAGUUGGUGAGGUAACGGCUCACCAAGUCAACGAUCGGUAGCUGGUCUGAGAGGAUGAUCAGCCACACGGGCACUGAGACACGGGCCCGACUCCUACGGGAGGCAGCAGUAGGGAAUAUUGGACAAUGGGCGCAGGCCUGAUCCAGCCAUCCCGCGUGAAGGAUUAAGGUCCUAUGGAUUGUAAACUUCUUUUCUCUGGAAAUAAAAACUGGGGUUCUCCUCAGCCUGAAGGUACCAGAGGAAUAAGCACCGGCUAACUCCGUGCCAGCCGCCGCGGUAAUAC